UACGUAGGGGGCAAGCGUUGUCCGGAAUCAUUGGGCGUAAAGAGCGUGUAGGCGGCCUGAUAAGUCGGUUGUGAAAGUCAAGGGCUCAACCCUUGAAUGCCGGCCGAUACUGUCAGGCUAGAGUCCGGAAGAGGCGAGUGGAAUUCCUGGUGUAGCGGUGAAAUGCGCAGAUAUCAGGAGGAACACCGAUGGCGAAGGCGGCAUCCUGGACCAACACUGACACUGAGGAGCGAAAGCCAGGGGAGCAAACGGG
rnacentral:rRNA from 1 species